UCUAGACUUAACAAUUCCUCCAGUGUGAGGCUAUUGACUUAUUUUUAUGCCCCAAUCUUCAUGCAGGGGCGUAGCAAGCAACUUUAAAGUGGUCAGGCCAACUUGCAAUUAAAGGUCAGCUGCUUUUCUACUAUUGGAACUUUUAUACAGUGGUGAAUUUUUUACCUAAGAAAAAGGUCAUCCCUUUUCCUCACCAAAAUAGCAUGCGCAUUAUCACUUACAAUAUUUACGACCAUUACCUACCCAGCUGCAAAAAGUGGUUAGACCAAAACCUGACCAGCCUGACCGCUUGCUACGGCUUUGAUCUUAUGUGCAACGUUAUGCUAUAAUUAUGUGAACAUUAUUUCUUACUCGUCCAGGUUCAGGUUCAGAAAUGUUGUGUUUGAGAUCACGUCAGGCAGAUGGAGAAGGUGGAGCUGGUCCUCCAGGACCUCCUUCAGCUGCAAUACGAGGGCCUGGCAAUCAUGAAGAUGUUUGGAAGGGCCAAAGUGAAUGUUAAUCUGCUCAUCUUCCUCAUGAACUUUUAAAAUCCUCAGAGUGUUAAAUUGGAUUGCCAUUAACAAAUUGCAUGUA